CCCAGAAAUUCAGAGGUUGACUCAGAGUCCCCCUGCCCUAACGCUAACAAAAACAUUCAUAUUUAAUAGAAAGCUUCCAGUUUCUGUAGCCAUUUAUUCUGCUUCCUUAGAACCAAGAAGGAGCUGGUGGAGUCUGCUUUCCUUCUGAGGCUGUGUUGUGGACUUUGAAACCCUUAAGUAGAGCUGCUGAUCUUGAUGUACUUCACUGGUUCCCUCUGUUAACUACAGUCCUCUGAUGUGCCACCGCACUGUCUUUUACAUAAAAACAUUAAAUAAAGGGAAGCAUCACUCAA